AGAGUUUGAUCCUGGCUCAGGACGAACGCUGACGGUGUGCUUUAGGCAUGCAAGUCGAACGAGAAAGCCCUUCGGGGUUAGUAAAGUGGCGAACGGGUGAGUAACACGUGGGCAACCUGCCCCUCGCAGGGGGACAACCGGAGGAAACUCCGGCUAAUACCCCGUAAGCUUGUCGAGUCGCAUGGCUCUUCAAGGAAAGGUAGCUUCGGCCAUCCGGCGAGGGAUGGGCCCGCGUUGCAUUAGCUAGUUGGUGGGGUAACGGCCUACCAAGGCUACGAUGCGUAGCUGGUCUGAGAGGAUGAUCAGCCACACUGGGACUGAGACACGGCCCAGACUCCUACGGGAGGCAGCAGCCAGGAAUCUUGGGCAAUGGGCGAAAGCCUGACCCAGCAACACCGUGUGGGUGAUGAAGGCCUUAGGGUCGUAAAGCCCUGUUGAUAGGGACGAAGGGCGAAUGGUUAAUAGCCCGGAGCUUGACGGUACCUUUCGAGGAAGCCCCGGCUAACUACGUGCCAGCAGCCGCGGUAAUACGUAGGGGGCGAGCGUUGUGCGGAAUUAUUGGGCGUAAAGAGCGUGUAGGCGGUUCGGUAAGUCUGCUGUGAAAUCUUGGGGCUCAGCCCUGAUCGUGCAGCUGAUACUGCCUGGCUAGAGGGUAGUAGAAGCGAGUGGAUUUCCUANUGUACCGGUGAAUUGCCCANAUU
rnacentral:rRNA from 1 species